AGAGUUUGAUCCUGGCUCAGAUUGAACACUGGUGGCAGGCCUAACACAUGCAAGUCGAGCGGCAUCGAGUGAGCGCAGUUUACUGAGUUCAUGUCGGCGAGCGGCGGACGGGUGAGUAAAGUCUGGGAAUCUGGCCGAAGGAGGGGGAUAACUGCUGGAAACGGCAGCUAAUACCGCAUGAAGUCGCGAGACCAAAGUGGGGGACCUUCGGGCCUCACGCCUUCGGAUGAGCCCAGAUGAGAUUAGCUGGUAGGUAAGGUAAAGGCUUACCUAGGCGACGAUCUCUAGCGGGUCCGAGAGGAUAGCCCGCCACACUGGAACUGAGACACGGUCCAGACUCCUACGGGAGGCAGCAGUGGGGAAUAUUGCACAAUGGGCGAAAGCCUGAUGCAGCCAUGCCACGUGUGUGAAGAAGGCCUUCGGGUUGUAAAGCACUUUCAGCGAGGAGGAAGCGAUAAAUGCGAAUACCAUUUAUUUUUGACGUUACUCGCAGAAGAAGCACCGGCUAACUCCGUGCCAGCAGCCGCGGUAAUACGGAGGGUGCGAGCGUUAAUCGGAAUAACUGGGCGUAAAGGGCAUGUAGGCGGUGAGUUAAGUCAGAUGUGAAAUCCCCGAGCUCAACUUGGGAAUGGCAUUUGAAACUGGGUCGCUAGAGUUUUCUAGAGGGGGGUAGAAUUCCAGGUGUAGCGGUGAAAUGCGUAGAUAUCUGGAGGAAUACCGGUGGCGAAGGCGGCCCCCUGGAGAAAGACUGACGCUGAGGUGCGAAAGCGU
rnacentral:rRNA from 1 species